CUGUAGAACUGUAAUGUAACGCAUUCUAAACUUGAAUACUGUAGAAUUGUAACAUAACGCAUUCUUAAGUUGAACAUUGUAGAAUUGUAACGUAACGCAUUCUAAACUUGAACAUUCUAGAAUUGUAACAUAACGCAUUCUAAAGUUGAACAUAGUAGAAUUGUAACGUAACGCAUUCUAAAGUUGAACAUCGUAGAACUGUAACGUAACGCAUUCUAAAGUUGAACAUAGUAGAACUGUAACGUAACGCAUUCUAAAGUUGAACAUUGUAGAACUGUAAUGUAACGCAUUCUAAACUUGAAUACUGUAGAAUUGUAACAUAACGCAUUCUUAAGUUGAACAUUGUAGAACUGUAAUGUAACGCAUUCUAAACUUGAACAUUGUAGAAUUGUAACGUAACACAUUCUAAAGUUGAACGUUGGAGAACUGUAACGUAACACAUUCUAAAGUUGAACAUUGUAGAACUGUAACGUAACACAUUCUUAAGUUGAACAUUGUAGAAGUGUAACUUAACCCAUUCCAAAGUUAAACAUUUUAGAAUUGUAACGCAUUCUAAAGUUGAACAUAGUAGAAGUGUAACUUAAUGCAUUCUAAAGUUGAACAUUGUAGAAGUGUAACUUAACGCAUUCUAAAGUUGAACGUAUCCUGAACUGUAACGUAAAACAUUCUUAACUUCAGGUGCAUUCAUCAACAGUCCAGGUGUAUCUGAAAGGCUCCGGGAGGCGUCGUUGAUUGACAGGCCUGUGCUGUGUCUCUGCUGAAGAAUAAUACCCCUCCCACCUCUCCCGUUGCCAGGGUGACAGAUGGGUUUUCUCUGCCGAAACACUCCGUCUCCAUUUCUGUCACCUCAGAUUGGUGUGCGAGCGGCAGAGAAGAGGGGUGGCUAAGACUCAGUCAAUCCUACACCUCCCUUGACAAAUGACAGUGAUACAGACAAACAGUGCACAGUGAGCGUUCCUUUACGUUUCUACCUGCGACCGUGUCUUGUAGUCUAUCACUUGUAGUCUCUGCCCAACACCAAUCUUGCACAAUAUUCUCUUGAUGGAGCGACAUAAAAAGCAGGCCAGUGCCUGUGAGGGCCUGUCCGUGAUUCACAAUCAUAAUAUAGCUCCACUCCACACACCGUACAGGCCGCUUUAGCACAGCGUUGUGGCUGCCUGCACUAUCAAAAGGUAGGAGUCUUUGAUUCAAAACCAACUAGAACGGGUCAAAAAACAGCCUGGAGGCAGCUACUUCUCCAGAUAAAGUGACUCUCUAUUCUUUCUUU